rnacentral:misc_RNA from 1 species
AUUUUCUAGCGACUGGAAUGGCACCUUUGGACUCGCCACAGGCCGACAAGUAUUUUGGCAGUGGUGUGGGGUUGUUCUGAUUGUCGAACGGUGGUUGGUGAAGGAGAAGGCAAUUGGUACUCCUUGGUUUGUUGAUCGGUACUGCUUGAUUCCUUUCGGAGACUCUGUUUAUGGUUUUGUAAAUUUUUUUUUUUAAAACAGUAACUAAGGAAUUUCGAGGUGAGGAA